rnacentral:rRNA from 1 species
AUCCCCACUUAACCCCUUACCAACAAAGAGCAAUUCUAUACCUCUAUAGAAAAUUUUAUGUUAAAACUAGUAAUAAGAAGUCAGCCCUUCUCUUCAAUGCAAACUUACAUCAGCCAGGACACCCCGCUGAUUUUUAACGUCCCUAAAAACAUUGUAAUAACUAAUCAAGAAAAUAUUACCCACCAUAACGUUAACCUAACACAAGAGCAUUUUAAGAAAGAUUAAAAGAAAAAGAAGGAACUCGGCAAAUAUUAGCCUCGCCUGUUUACCAAAAACAUCGCCUCUUGACUUAUUAUAAGAGGUCAUGCCUGCCCAGUGACUCUGUUCAACGGCCGCGGUAUCCUAACCGUGCGAAGGUAGCGUAAUCACUUGUUCUUUAAAUGAGGACUAGUAUGAAUGGCCCCACGAAGGCUACACUGUCUCCUUUUUCUAAUCAAUGAAACUAAUCUUCUCGUGAAGAAGCGAGAAUAAUUUUAUAAGACGAGAAGACCCUAUGGAGCUUUAAACAACUGAAAUAUUUGCUUUUAUAUUCCAUUCUCCAGAGUUCGCUAUUAUAUCCAAGCAUUUUAAUUUCUAGUUUUAGGUUGGGGUGACCACGGAGUAAAAUUCAACCUCCAUGACGAACUAAGCAUUUUUCCUCUAAGCCACAAGCUACCUCUUUAAGCAUCAACAAAUUGACUUACAUUGACCCAAUAUUUUGAUCAACGAACCAAGUUACCCUAGGGAUAACAGCGCAAUCUACUUCAAGAGCUCAUAUCGACAAGUAGGUUUACGACCUCGAUGUUGGAUCAGGGUAUCCUGGUGGUGCAGCCGCUACUAAAGGUUCGUUUGUUCAACGAUUAAAACCCUACGUG